CCUACGGGUGGCUGCAGUGGGGGAUAUUGGACAAUGGGGGAAACCCUGAUCCAGCGACGCCGCGUGAGUGAAGAAGUUUUUCGGUAUGUAAAGCUCUAUCAGCAGGGAAGAAAGAAAUGACGGUACCUGAUUACGAAGCCCCGGCUAACUACGGGCCAGCAGCAGCGGCAAUACGGAGGGGGCAGUCGUGUUCCGGAAUUAAGGGGUGUACAGGGAGCGUAGACGGGAAUGCAAGUAUGGAGUGAAGGGGGGGGGCCCAACCCCCGGCGUGCUCUGGAAACUGUGUAACUGGAGUGCAGGAGAGGGAGGCGGAAUUCCUAGUGUAGCGGUGAAAUGCGUAGAUAUUAGGAGGAACACCAGUUGCGAAGGCGGCCUGCUGGACUGUAACUGACGUUGAGGCUCGAAAGCGUGGGGAGCAAACAGGAUUAGAUACCCUUGUAGUC
rnacentral:rRNA from 1 species